CUAUUUAACGUAUAAAACAGUGAACUGGGGCAAAAUAGUUUAUUAUACUGUAAUACUUUAAGAAAACAAACAUAUUAAACAUGCGUCUUGCAACAGUGUCAAUUGUGUUAUUUGUGUGUAUACUAAUUUCAUCUAUUGAAGGUAUGUAUACAAUUGUAACUUUAUAGUUGUUUUUUACCAAUAUUUUCUUACUUAAUUAUAUAUAUUUUUUUACAAUUUUGAAAGAUAAAGUCACUUAGGAAUACAACUUCAAAUUAAUAUAUCUGUAUAUGUGUACAUGGAGACAUUAAUAGCAACAAUAGCAAACAUUUCGUACAUAUCUUUUUAUUAGACAGGCGGUUUACGACAAACGUGACCUUGGAAAGUUAUCACUAGACAAGUUGUUAGUUAAAGCAGUAAUCCAUUACUUUUGGUUAAAGUUUCAGAUGAUUCAUUUGAUAUAUAUAUAUCAAUAGAAUAAAACAUAAUAGAUAUAGUAUGAUGUUAAAUUCCAGCCUUCAGCUCCAGUUUAGUAUACAUUUAUUACAUUAAAACAUAAUAACUUAAUAUAUUAUGAAUAUUGUAUUUCAGCCUUCAGCUUCAGAAGAUAUACGAGAAAUUAUCUGAACAGAGGAUGUCCUAUUCAGAGAUGUUCAAAGGUCCUAAUCCCAUCAAGAUGUAAAAUGCCAUCGUUUUAUUAUUACGAAGGACGAAGAUGCCGGGGCUGCUAUAAAAACAUUUGUCCAGAUGUUGAGCCCAGCUAUUAUCCAUACACAAAAUUUUACUGGGGAUGAUUAGGAACGUAAGAUGAAGAUUAUCUGUCAACCUGAAAUCUAUUCUGCCUCAAUAUCAAAGUGGAAAUUGUUCCUAUUAGCUAUAUUAUGGCAAACCAUUAUAGUGCUUUUAUUUACCAAAAUUACAGAAAUUAGUCAAACGCACAAAUAUUUCGUGAAGAACUGGACAGUGAUAUGUAUAAUCAACCGAUACACUUAUAAUUUUGUUAUGAAUGUCUUACAUUAACUGUGACUUGAAGUAGUUGUUUUCUGAAAUUGAUGUAAGAUUCAGUCUUUAAUUUGUGUUCUCUGUUAAAAGAAGAAAUCCAGACAGCAGUAGUAUAGAAGAUGUCUAGACUGCUUUUGCUUUUAUUUAUAAUUAUGCAUGCUUGUUAUAUUUGUAUUGAAUUAGUUAAUUAAAAAUGUAUUGAAAG
rnacentral:lncRNA from 1 species